rnacentral:rRNA from 1 species
GAGGCGAACCGGGGGAACUGAAACAUCUAAGUACCCCGAGGAAAAGAAAUCAACCGAGAUUCCGAAAGUAGCGGCGAGCGAAAUUGGACUAGCCCUUAAGCUUUACACGCGUUAGACGAACGGUCUGGAAAGUCCGACGAUACAGGGUGAUAGUCCCGUAGUUGACGACGUGUGUUCAGUGAAAUCGAGUAGGGCGGGACACGUGAUAUCCUGUCUGAAUAUGGGGGGACCAUCCUCCAAGGCUAAAUACUACUGACUGACCGAUAGUGAACCAGUACCGUGAGGGAAAGGCGAAAAGAACCCCUGUGAGGGGAGUGAAAUAGAACCUGAAACCGUGUACGUACAAGCAGUAGGAGCACCUUCGUGGUGUGACUGCGUACCUUUUGUAUAAUGGGUCAGCGACUUAUAUUCAGUGGCAAGGUUAACCAUCUAGGGGAGCCGUAGGGAAACCGAGUCUUAACUGGGCGUUCAGUCUCUGGAUAUAGACCCGAAACCAGGUGAUCUAGCCAUGGGCAGGUUGAAGGUUGAGUAACAUCAACUGGAGGACCGAACCGACUAAUGUUGAAAAAUUAGCGGAUGACUUGUGGCUAGGGGUGAAAGGCCAAUCAAACCUGGAGAUAGCUGGUUCUCCCCGAAAGCUAUUUAGGUAGCGCCUCGGACGAAUACUACUGGGGGUAGAGCACUGUUAAGGCUAGGGGGUCAUCCCGACUUACCAACCCUUUGCAAACUCCGAAUACCAGUAAGUACUAUCCGGGAGACACACGGCGGGUGCUAACGUCCGUCGUGGAGAGGGAAACAACCCAGACCGCCAGCUAAGGUCCCAAAUUACUACUAAGUGGGAAACGAUGUGGGAAGGCUCAGACAGCCAGGAUGUUGGCUUAGAAGCAGCCAUCAUUUAAAGAAAGCGUAAUAGCUCACUGGUCGAGUCGGCCUGCGCGGAAGAUGUAACGGGGCUAAGUAGUAAACCGAAGCUGCGGCAAUAUACUUUUGUAUAUUGGGUAGGGGAGCGUUCUGUAAGCGGUUGAAGGUGUGUGGUAACGCAUGCUGGACGUAUCAGAAGUGCGAAUGCUGACAUGAGUAACGAUAAAGGGGGUGAAAAACCUCCUCGCCGGAAGACCAAGGGUUCCUGUCCAACGUUAAUCGGGGCAGGGUAAGUCGACCCCUAAGGCGAGGCCGAAAGGCGUAGUCGAUGGGAAACGGGUUAAUAUUCCCGUACUUCUUACAAUUGCGAUGGGGGGACGGAGAAGGCUAGGUGGGCCUGGCGACGGUUGUCCAGGUUCAAGUGCGUAGGCUUAAGAGUUAGGUAAAUCCGGCUCUUUUUAAGGCUGAGACACGACGUCGAGCACCUACGGGUGUGAAGUCAUUGAUGCCAUGCUUCCAGGAAAAGCCUCUAAGCUUCAGAUUGUAAGGAAUCGUACCCCAAACCGACACAGGUGGUCGGGUAGAGAAUACCAAGGCGCUUGAGAGAACUCGGGUGAAGGAACUAGGCAAAAUGGUACCGUAACUUCGGGAGAAGGUACGCUCUUGAUGGUGAAGUCCCUUGCGGAUGGAGCUGACGAGAGUCGCAGAUACCAGGUGGCUGCAACUGUUUAUUAAAAACACAGCACUGUGCAAAAUCGUAAGAUGACGUAUACGGUGUGACGCCUGCCCGGUGCCGGAAGGUUAAUUGAUGGGGUUAGACUUCGGUCGAAGCUCUUGAUCGAAGCCCCGGUAAACGGCGGCCGUAACUAUAACGGUCCUAAGGUAGCGAAAUUCCUUGUCGGGUAAGUUCCGACCUGCACGAAUGGCGUAAUGAUGGCCACGCUGUCUCCACCCGAGACUCAGUGAAAUUGAAAUCGCUGUGAAGAUGCAGUGUACCCGCGGCUAGACGGAAAGACCCCGUGAACCUUUACUACAGCUUGGCACUGAACAUUGACCCUACAUGUGUAGGAUAGGUGGGAGGCUUUGAAGCACGUACGCCAGUAUGUGUGGAGCCGUCCUUGAAAUACCACCCUUGUAGUGUUGAUGUUCUAACGUCGACCCCUUAUCGGGGUUGCGGACAGUGCCUGGUGGGUAGUUUGACUGGGGCGGUCUCCUCCCAAAGAGUAACGGAGGAGCACGAAGGUGGGCUAAUCACGGUUGGACAUCGUGAGGUUAGUGCAAUGGCAUAAGCCCGCUUGACUGCGAGAAUGACAAUUCGAGCAGGUGCGAAAGCAGGUCAUAGUGAUCCGGUGGUUCUGAAUGGAAGGGCCAUCGCUCAACGGAUAAAAGGUACUCCGGGGAUAACAGGCUGAUACCGCCCAAGAGUUCAUAUCGACGGCGGUGUUUGGCACCUCGAUGUCGGCUCAUCACAUCCUGGGGCUGAAGUCGGUCCCAAGGGUAUGGCUGUUCGCCAUUUAAAGUGGUACGCGAGCUGGGUUUAGAACGUCGUGAGACAGUUCGGUCCCUAUCUGCCGUGGGCGUUGGAAGAUUGAAGGGGGCUGCUCCUAGUACGAGAGGACCGGAGUGGACGAACCUCUGGUGUUCGGGUUGUGUCGCCAGACGCAUUGCCCGGUAGCUAAGUUCGGAAUCGAUAACCGCUGAAAGCAUCUAAGCGGGAAGCGAGCCCUGAGAUGAGUCUUCCCUGAUACUUUAAGUAUCCUAAAGGGUUGUCGGAGACUACGACGUUGAUAGGUCAGGUGUGUAAGUGCUGUGAGGCAUUGAGCUAACUGAUACUAAUUGCCCGUGAGGCUUAACCA